UCUGGUCAGUGGUUUGUUUAUUAACCAACACUCUCUCAAAUGACAGUUGAGUCAGAAAAGCGACCAGGUACCGACAUGACGGGUUGUUUUGAUUCUGGGCACUCCUUUUAGCUCAUGUGAAGUACUGAUUCAUUCCCCAGAACCUGUGACUGCUGCCUUACAUGGUAAAAGCAUUUUGAGAUGGGGAGAUCAUCCUGGAUGGUUCAGAUAAACCUAAAUGUAGUUGCCAGGGACUUUAUGAAAAGGGCCAGGUGGAUCAGCCUCAGGAUCAAGAAUAGGAUAGGAGACAACAGAAGGAAGAUUUUGGAGUAAAGUGAGGAAAGGGCUAAGAGCCCAGGAAUGCAGGAGGCCUCUGAGAAAGGCAAGGAAAGCUUGUCCCCUAAGGUCUCCAGAAGGAAUACAGCCAGCCCUGCUAGCAACUUGAUUUUAUGUUUUUAAGUUAUUUUUAAAAAGAUAUUUAUUUGACUGCCCUGGGUCUUAGUUGUGGCACGUGGGAUCCAUAUUUGUUGUGGCAUGAGGGAUCUAGUUCCCUGACCAGGGAUGGAACCCAUGUCCCCUGCAUUGGGAGCAUGGAGUCUUAGCCACUGGACCACCAGGGAAGUCCCGGCACUUUGAUUUUAGACUAAGGUUCUAGAAUAAAUUUUUAUUUUAAGCCAUUAACAUCUGUGGUAAUCAGUUACAUCAGCAGGAAGAAACUAAAACAGGACCACAUUGUGUUUCUCCAAACUAUUUGAAAUCAGUGAACUAGAGGAGCCAGCAAAGCUGGCUUACCAUUUCAGUGGGCUGAGAUGUCUGAGGUUUUUGUGGGGAUUUGAAGACUUGGUACUGUAAUCAUCUGGGAAGAUUCUUCUGCAGCAGUAGCAAAGGCAACAGGAGUUUUAUGACAAAAUCCAUGCCCUCUAAAUGGGGUUGGUUAUUUUAUCAUUUCUUUCAAAUUAAUCACUUUAUUUUUGGUAGAUGAUGUAUAACUCAAAGUCAGGGUACUGCUUAACCUUAUAGGAGUCAUCUCAUCUAUCUAGUGCUUGAUGAUUCUGUGCUGAAUUAUUUUCACAUUCCGUUUAAGUUACAGCCUUAGUUUCUGCCUAAGUAGAAAAUGAGAUUAUUUCUGGCACUGGAUCCAGUUGCUGAGCCAACAGGAGAUGGGAAGUCAAAUAUAGCCAGUUACUGUGGAAUUGGUGGAG
ensembl:lncRNA